rnacentral:misc_RNA from 1 species
UACGAAACAGCCUCAGCCAACCAGUCAACCAAACAGGCCCUCAGAUUUGCACUCGGCCGGCAUGGCAUUUAUCCCCCACCUACAAUCUCAGGCAAUCCGCCAUUACUGAGAGCCCCAUCGCACAUCGGGUCGUGGCAAGCUCGCGACGCGGAAGCGCCACCGCUCCCCUGUCCGUCUCCGUCCACCUCCUGUGCCGGCUGCCUGCCUACCACAUCAAUCAGUGUGACCAUCCAGCACAUUCCCAUGACGGGCCACGCCAGCCUGCUGCUGCCGGCGCUCGCCGCCGUCCUGCUCUGCUGCCCCCUCGCGCAAUGCGGGCAGCAGAACUACACCUCCAUGUUCAGCUUCGGCGACUCGCUCACCGACACCGGCAACCUGCUCGUGUCCAGCCCGCUCUCCAACCACAUCGUCGGCCGCUACCCCUACGGCAUCACCUACUUCCACCGCUCCACCGGCCGCUGCUCCGACGGCCGCCUCGUCGUCGACUUCCUAGCGCAAGCGUUCGGCCUGCCGCUGCUGCAGCCGUACCUGCAGUCCCGCGGCAAGGACCUGCGCCGGGGCGUCAACUUCGCCGUCGGCGGCGCCACCGCCAUGGAUCCGCCCUUCUUCCAGGAGAUCGGCGCGUCCGACAAGCUCUGGACCAACCUGUCCCUCAGCGUCCAGCUCGGCUGGUUCGAGCAGCUCAAGCCGUCGCUCUGCAGCUCACCGAAAGAGUGCAAGGAGUACUUCAGCAAGUCCCUCUUCCUGGUCGGAGAGAUCGGGGGGAACGACUACAACUACGCCUUCUUCAAGGGCAAGACCCUGGACGACGCCAAGACCUACGUCCCCACGGUCGCCGCCGCGGUCACCGAUGCCACCGAGAGGCUGAUCAAGGCCGGCGCCACGCACCUGGUGGUGCCGGGGAACCUGCCCAUGGGCUGCUCGUCGGCGUACCUGACCCUGCACCCGGGCCGCAACGGCAGCGACUACGACGCCGCCGGUUGCCUCAGGACGUACAACGACUUCGCGCAGCACCACAACGCUGUGCUCCAGCGGAAACUGCGGGCGCUCCGGGCGAAGUACCCGCAGGCGAGGAUCAUGUACGCCGACUACUACGGCGCCGCCAUGUCCUUCGCCAAGAACCCCAAGCAGUUCGGGUUCACGCAGGGGCCGCUGCGGACGUGCUGCGGCGGCGGCGGGCCGUACAACUUCAACCCGAAGGCGAGCUGCGGCGUGCGGGGGUCCAGCGUGUGCGCGGACCCGUCGGCGUACGCCAACUGGGACGGCGUGCACCUGACGGAGGCCGCCUACCACGCCAUCGCCGACAGCAUCCUCAACGGGCCCUACACCAGCCCCAGGCUCCUCUGAUCCGAACGCCGGUGGUUGAAGCUCGUCGUCCGUCCAUCGGCAGCCGCAGCUCAUACAACUGUAGUGGCGCCAACAAUGUGGCUGGCCUGUGAGCUUGCUAGCUGUGGUAAUUAAACGAAUGCUGUACGUAGUACUCCCUACUACUAGUGUGAGAGUGUGACGGUGUUGGGACUGGAACUGGAACUGGAAGGGUAACUCGUAACUAAAAAUGGUGGAGUUUUGCGUCCGUUCGUUUCUUGGCAUGAUGUGACUUUGGCGUGGGGCUGUGUCGUGGAUCGUUAAGGCCUUGUUCGUUUACGUCGGAUUGCAUCCGGAAUCGUUCCAGUUAAUCAAAGUUUAUAUAAAUUAGAGAAACAAUCCGGCUA